GGACCCUCCCCUCGGGUCCUCGCCGGUUCCCUGACACGACCUCCAAGUGGCGUGCUAGGUUAAGGUUACCAGCUGCAGGGGCAGGCUCGCCCUAGCAGUAAUGCCAGCAUUAGUUAUAUUGACAAAUACAUAAAUGUUUAGAGUGUUCGUCUGUGUACUACCUAAGAACAGGCAUGCUGCGGGUGGUAGCUUACCACGUUCGGGAAACACUGGUCAGCAGUCUGAGGAGGACUCACUAGGCUGAAAUUACAAUGUUGGCAGGGCUGCAUUCCCUUCUGGAGGCUCAAGAGGAAUCAUCCCUUUUUUGCCUCUCCCACCUUGGCUUGUGGCCCCCUUCCUUUAUCUUCAAAGCUGUUAAUGGAGGGUUGGAUCCUCACCUCACAUCACUGCAACUUUCUUUUGCCUCCCUCUUCCAUUUUUAAAGAAACUUUGUUAUGAUAUUGGGCCCACCCCAAUAAUCCAGGAUAAUCGCCGUAUUUUAGAGGCAGAUGAUAGCAACCUUAAUUCCUCUUUGCCAUGUUUGGUAACAUAGUCACAGGUUUCAGGAAUUAGUACAUCUAACUGGACAUCUUUGGGAGGCUAUUAUUCUGCCUACCACACCACCCCAAACAUAAACCUACUUAAACAGCUGGA